ACAACAUGCGGACCGUCGGUCUACCGAGCAAUAUCACCUGCUCGGUGAAAAAUAUUCCCUAUGUCGU
rnacentral:pre_miRNA from 1 species